GAGCCACUGAAUGGAAAAGCACUGACCUGAAUCAAUGGAGAAAACGGCUGUUUUGCUGCCGCAUCACAUUGAAUCAAUGGGAGUCCGCCCAAUGAACAGGUGGAACAGUGGAACCCUUUCACUGGAUGUCAAUAGGGCUAAGCUAAUUUACACCAGGAACUUCUCUCUCAGCAGUUAUAAAUCUUUUGAAUCUCAAACAUCUGUCAUUUAUGUUUGACACUCCUCCAUAGUUUCCUGCAGCUGUGA